AUACGGGGGGUGCAAGCGUUGUUCGGAAUCAUUGGGCGUAAAGGGCGUGUAGGCGGCUAGAUAAGUCGGAUGUGAAAUCCCUGGGCUUAACCCAGGACGUGCAUUCGAAACUGUUUGGCUUGAGUAGGGGAGAGGAAAGUGGAAUUCCUGGUGUAGAGGUGAAAUUCGUAGAUAUCAGGAGGAACACCGGUGGCGAAGGCGACUUUCUGGCCCUAUACUGACGCUGAGACGCGAAAGCGUGGGUAGCAAACAGGAUUAGAUACCCUGGUAGUCCACGCUGUAAACGAUGUUCACUAGGUGUUGGGGGUAUUGACCCCCUCAGUGCCGCAGCUAACGCAUUAAGUGAACCGCCUGGGGAGUACGGUCGCAAGACUAAA
rnacentral:rRNA from 1 species